CAGCACCUCAAGUGGUCAGGAUGAUUAUUGGGCCUAAAGCAUCCGUAGCCGGCUCUGUAAGUUUUCGGUUAAAUCUGUACGCUCAACGUACAGGCUGCCGGGAAUACUGCAGAGCUAGGGAGUGGGAGAGGUAGACGGUACUCGGUAGGAAGGGGUAAAAUCCUUUGAUCUAUUGAUGACCACCUGUGGCGAAGGCGGUCUACCAGAACACGACCGACGGUGAGGGAUGAAAGCUGGGGGAGCAAACCGGAUUAGAUACCCGAGUAGUCC
rnacentral:rRNA from 1 species